rnacentral:rRNA from 1 species
UACGGGGGGGGCAAGCGUUGUUCGGAAUUACUGGGCGUAAAGGGCUCGUAGGCGGCCAACUAAGUCAGACGUGAAAUCCCUCGGCUUAACCGGGGAACUGCAUCUGAUACUGGAUGGCUUGAGUUCGGGAGAGGGAUGCGGAAUUCCAGGUGUAGCGGUGAAAUGCGUAGAUAUCUGGAAGAACACCGGUGGCGAAGGCGGCAUCCUGGACCGGCACUGACGCUGAGGAGCGAAAGCCAGGGGAGCAAACGGG